GCGACGAUCCAUAGCCGGUCUGAGAGGAUGGCCGGUCACACUGGGACUGAGACAUGGUCCAGACUCCUACGGGAGUUAGCAUCAGGGAAUCUUGCACAAUGAGCGAAAGCUCGAUGCAGCGACGCCGCGUGAGGGAUGACGGCCUGCGGGUUGUAAACCUCUGUCAGGAGGGACGAAACCACCUUCGUGGUGCUGACGGUACCUCCAAAGGAAGCCCCGGCUAAUUACGUGCCAGCAGCCGCGGUAAAACGUAAGGGGCUAGCGUUGUCCGGAAUUACUGGGCGUAAAGAGCACGUAGGCGGCCUAGCAAGCGGCAGGUGAAAUCUCACGGCUCAACCGUGAAACUGCUUGCCGAACUGCUGGGCUAGAGUGCGGGAGAGGACAGUGGAAUUCCUGGUGUAGCGGUGGAAUGCGUCAAUAUCAGGAAGAACACCUGUGGCGAAGGCUGCUGUCUGGAACGCGACUGACGCUGAGGUGCGAAAGCUAGGGUAGCGAACGGGAUUAGAUACCCCGGUAGUCCUAGCCGUAAACGAUGGACACUAGGUGUUGGAGGUUUCGACCCCUUCAGUGCUGCUAAGCAAACGCGUUAAGUGUCCCGCCUGGGGAGUACGGCCGCAAGGUUGAAACUCAAAGGAAUUGACGGGGGCCCGCACAAGCGGUGGAGCAUGCGGGUUAAUCGGAUGAUACGCCGAGAACCUUACCAGGGCUUGACAUGUUUCUGACCGCCUAUGAAAAUAGGUUUCUUGCGCAAGCAAGCGGAAUCACAGGUGGUGCAUGGUUGUCGUCAGCUCGUGUCGUGAGAUGUUGGGUUAAGUCCCGCAACGAGCGCAACCCUCGCCAGAUGUUGCCAGCGGUUCGGCCGGGCACUCUUCUGGGACUGCCCGAGUAAUCGGGAGGAAGGAGAGGACGACGUCAAAUCGGCAUGCCCCUUACGUCCUGGGCUGCACGCGUGCUACAAUGGCGAGUACAACGGGUAGCCAAACCGCGAGGUGGAGCUAAUCCUUCAAAACUCGUCCCAGUUCGGAUCGGAUGUCUGCAACUCGACUCCGUGAAGUUGGAAUCGCUAGUAACCGUGGAUCAGCAAUGCCGCGGUGAUACGUUCCCGGGCCUUGUACACACCGCCCGUCAAAUCACGAAAGCUGGCAGCACCCGAAG
rnacentral:rRNA from 1 species